GUCUGUCUGUCUGUCUCUGACUCUCCGUCUCUCUGUCCAUCUUUCUCUAUCGUUCAUAAACAGCUCUUCUCUCUGCUUCCUGUUCCAGGGUGUAAGGUGAAAAGACCUUAGCCCCGCCCAUUUAGGUCGGCCAUGAUGGAUUUGCAUACUAUGUAAAAUAGACCUUUGCAUGCUGGUGCGAGAAUCUACACACGUUUGGUGUCGAACUGCUCAGAAAAUCGUGUCCCUCAGUAACUUUCUAAAACAUGUCAAGAUUUAUAACAGUAUAAUAUGGAUGUGGCAUGUCCAUCAAGUCUAAGGGGGAGGAGCUUGUUUAGCUGUAAUUAGUGCAAUCAAUUAGGUGUAGUUCAUGGUUUGUGUUUGAUUGGUUGUAUUUUUUAUUAAACUGAAAGGACGUUCAGUAGAAGUGUAAAAGUCUGGGUUUGGUCAUAAAAGGGUUUUUACAUGUCACAUGUACAUUACAGCAUAGUGAAAUCCUUUCUUCACAUAUCCCAGAGAUGUUAGGGAGCUGGGGUCAGAGUGCAGGCUCAGCUAUGAAACUGUGCCCCUGGAGCACAGAGGGUUAAGGGCCUUGCUCAAGGGCCCAGGACUGGCAGCUUGACAUUACUGGGAUUUGAACCCCUGACCUUCUGUCCACAUUCUCAGGAGCCAAAUGUCUGGUUGAAGUGAAUCACCUGAAAUUUGGGGAUGCACAGAUUUUUAUUCAUCACGGGAUUAGUUUAAAAACAUCUCCGAUUUCAGCCAAUCAGAUUCUUGUAAUUUAGCAGCUGCUUGCUAUUGGAAGGAGUUUUUGCAGAAAUGACUUGAACCUCAUAGAUCACCGCUUACAGCUCCGUAAAAUAUAUUAAACAUAACACCCCAGGAAACAGUUACAUUUCAUAUUUUACACAGAAUAAUAGAAAAUUAUUUAGAAUUUUGAAAAUGCACCACUUUAAUUUGAGCUCAUAUACAAUUUCUUAUCAGAAUGAGGAAAAGAAUCUGAUAGCGAAAAUUAUUCAUUCUAAAAUUUAUCUCGGAAAUCUGGCGUGUGGUUGAGGCUCGGAUUUCCAGUUUGGUUAGAUUUGAUCAGACUCUAAGGAUUCUGUAUAAAAAAAACAAAUGAUUUAAUGAAACAGGGCUCCGUUAUUAGUUUAUUUCCACCUGUAAUAGUGAAUUUGUUGUUUUUCUAAAAGUUGAAUAUUUCAGUCUGGACUUGGCAGUGAUGAUGAAGGGAUUUAAUGUGGUUCGUAAACGACUGUAGUUCAGAAUAAAUCAUUUCUCAGAGACGUAAUCUGAUUUACAGAGUUGCUGUAAAAGUAAAAACGUAAUGUACAUUCAGAAAGAAUUCAUGACUCUGUCUGUGACGUCUCAUCACGUGUCUCAGGACGUUCUCUGGGUGAAGAAGUGAAACCGGCAGGCAGGUUAUUGCCGCUCCUCCGUGACUCAUUAACUUCAGUGCUAUGACAUCACGUGCUGUAACGUCACUCCUGAGAUCCCGAGGUGUGUGAAGUCCAAGGAAGCCUCAUAAAUGAUGAAUAUGAGUGGAGAUGAUAAGUGCUGCGACUGCACGGGACAGAAAUAACGCUGACUGAGCGAUUUACAGUCUUAUACAACACUAAAAACCUCACCUGGGUCUAGAGAUCAGACCAUUAAACUAUAACGGCCUUUUUAAAGGUGCGGUCAGUACAUUUGCUCAGAAGACUCUUGUGUAACAUCCAUAGAACAUCUCUGGUCUCUGUGUCAGGAGAAACCCAUCAGUCCUGCUGAGAAACAAGUUUUUAAAAGCGGUUUGAGAUCAGACAGGUCGAGCAGUUCGGCUGGCGUGGCUUCAGAGAGAACACUUAAGAGCGAUUGCAACAUUCAGACUAAUCUCAUCACUCGAAAAUUUCCUAAUCCGUAUUAAAAAACCAAAACAAAGAAAAGAACUUGGAAUCCCUGCUCAGGAAUGUUUCCUCCAAUCCAACACGGUGAGAUCAACACGCCGGCUCGUAGCGUCCAUGCGGUUCACAACCAGUCUAUUCUAUUAUUUACUACAUAGUAGGACACGUUCAUGUUUUUCUCCUUGACCUGUAGGACAAAGCUUGUGUUCUAAACCGACCUACACGUGGAAAUCAGUCUUCUGUACAUUUGUAUUGCUGUUUACAGAAAUCACUUAUUGCCCCUUUAACCCCUUUCAGAGGAUCAAAAUUCCAUGUGCUCUGGUUUUUGCUCUUAUUGCAGGAAUGAUAUGUAAUAGCAUCGUCCAGAGAAGGUGAGGACGGGGGUUCCCUCUAGAGCUGCUUGUUCUUCUCCAGGCUCUUUUCUCAGAAACCUUUUCCAUCAUCAUCAUCAUGAUCAUCAUCAUGAUCAUCAUGAUCAUCAUCAUCAUCACCUCUGUCUCACUUAUUAGGGAUAAAUUUAUGAGAUUAACACGUAAUCCAGAGUCUGUUUAUUUCUAACAAUCUGCUUUGUGACAGAAAGAAAAUCUCUUAUUAGGACGGAACCUGGUUUCUGGUUUUGAGCAGGAAGCGCGUGAACAAUGUCGAUGAGGAAGGAAGGAGGAAGUUGGUUAGAGCGUUGGACUAACAGGAACAUAAGGGUUUUGAGUUUUUAAACGAGGCCUACGCAGGGGAUCUUCACUAUAGGACACCUGCAGGAGGAUCUUCUCCAACGCUCGUGCCCUGAAACCCUUCACUUACCGUACCGGUGAUCUAAUCUCGACAGAUCAGACACCGCCAUCUUGUGGACAGAUUGAGGAAUCGCAUAUCUGUUCAUACCGGAAGUAGAAAAAUACCUUUUUUUUGUGCCUCCAUUUUCUUGUUCUUGUUGUGAGGACUUUUUUUAGUUUUACUUUAGUUUUAUAGAUGUGAACAUGUCUGUAUGUUAAACAACAUAAAAUAAGUCAUUUUUAAGCAUUAAAUGUAACAAUAAAUAGGAAAAAAACAAAUUAUGUGUUACUCUUGAAUUAAUACAGCACUACAAAUAGUUAGUAUGGAUAGAUAGAAGGAUGAAUGAAUGGAGAGAUAGAUGAAUAAAUAGAUGGACCAAUGGAUGA